rnacentral:rRNA from 1 species
AGUAACGCGUAGGGAUCUAUCCUUGGGUGGGGGGACAACGGCUGGAAACGGCUGCUAAUACCGCAUGAUAACUGAGGUUUAAAGGCGCAAGUCGCCUGAGGAGGAGCCUGCGUACGAUUAGCUAGUUGGUGGGGUAAAGGGCCUACCAAGGCUGUGAUCGUUAGCUGGUCUGAGAGGAUGAUCAGCCACAUUGGGACUGAGACACGGCCCAA